ensembl:snRNA LOC120101997 U7 small nuclear RNA
AGCUAGCACAGCUCUUUCAGAAUUUUUCUAGUAUAUUUUCUGACUUUGGUUAGGAAACCU